UGGGGAAUAUUGCACAAUGGGGGAAACCCUGAUACAGCGACGCCGCGUGAACGAAGAAGGUACUCGUAUCGUAAAGUUCUGUCCUAUGGGAAGAUAAUGACAGUACCAUAGAAGAAAGCUCCGGCUAAAUACGUGCCAGCAGCCGCGGUAAUACGUAUGGAGCGAGCGUUGUCCGGAAUUAUUGGGCGUAAAGGGUACGCAGGCGGUUUAAUAAGUCGAAUGUUAAAGAUCGGGGCUCAACCCCGCAAAGCAUUGGAAACUGAUAAACUUGAGUAGUGGAGAGGAAAGUGGAAUUCCUAGUGUAGUGGUGAAAUACGUAGAUAUUAGGAGGAAUACCAGUAGCGAAGGCGACUUUCUGGACACAAACUGACGCUGAGGUACGAAAGCGUGGGGAGCAAACAGG
rnacentral:rRNA from 1 species